rnacentral:rRNA from 1 species
UUUCCGUAGGUGAACCUGCGGAAGGAUCAUUGUCGAUGCCUAAAACAUCAAACGACCCGCGAACGCGUUUCACGAAGCGUCCGUGCUCGUGUCGGGGGGGCCUCGGUUUGCUGGGCUCUUGCCCCCAUGCCGCCCUCCGGCGCGCACGGACCCAAACAAAACCCCGGCGCAGGUCGCGCCAAGGAACUCCAACGAAUUUGCCCGCCCCGCGCCCCGGUCUCGGCGUGCGGGGGGCGGAGCAUUCCCGUCGUAUGAACGUAUUAUUCACAACGACUCUCGGCAACGGAUAUCUCGGCUCUCGCAUCGAUGAAGAACGUAGCGAAAUGCGAUACUUGGUGUGAAUUGCAGGAUCCCGCGAACCACCGAGUCUUUGAACGCAAGUUGCGCCCGGAGCCAUCUGGCCGAGGGCACGUCUGCCUGGGCGUCACGCAUCGCUGCCCCCCCCCCUCGCAACCCCUUUGUUGGUUGCUGUGGGCGGGGGCACACGCUGGCCUCCCGUGCGCACCGUCGCGUGGAUGGCUUAAAUCCGAGUCCUCGGCGCCUGUCGUCGCGACGCUACGGUGGUUGAUCAAACCUCGGUACCGCGUCGCGCCCCCAGCCAACGUGCCUCCUCCUCUCGCUCGCGAGGGAAGAGCCGACGAGGCCACUCAGACCGACCCUUCGAACGUCGCCCCGAAAUGGAGGCGAUGCUCUCGACGCGACCCCAGGUCAGGCGGGACUACCCGCUGAGUUUAA